rnacentral:rRNA from 1 species
CUUCCAGGAAAAGCCUCUAAGCAUCAGGUAACAUCAAAUCGUACCCCAAACCGACACAGGUGGUCAGGUAGAGAAUACCAAGGCGCUUGAGAGAACUCGGGUGAAGGAACUAGGCAAAAUGGUGCCGUAACUUCGGGAGAAGGCACGCUGAUAUGUAGGUGAAGCGACUUGCUCGUGGAGCUGAAAUCAGUCGAAGAUACCAGCUGGCUGCAACUGUUUAUUAAAAACACAGCACUGUGCAAACACGAAAGUGGACGUAUACGGUGUGACGCCUGCCCGGUGCCGGAAGGUUAAUUGAUGGGGUCAGCGCAAGCGAAGCUCUUGAUCGAAGCCCCGGUA